rnacentral:rRNA from 1 species
UACGUAGGGGGCAAGCGUUGUCCGGAAUCAUUGGGCGUAAAGAGCGUGUAGGCGGUCCGGUAAGUCGGCUGUGAAAGUCCAGGGCUCAACCCUGGGAUGCCGGUCGAUACUGCCGGACUAGAGUUCGGAAGAGGCGAGUGGAAUUCCCGGUGUGGCGGUGAAAUGCGCAGAUAUCGGGAGGAACACCUAUGGCGAAGGCAGCUCGCUGGGACGUUACUGACGCUGAGACGCGAAAGCGUGGGGAGCAAACAGG